rnacentral:rRNA from 1 species
UGGCCUACGGGAGGCAGCAGUGGGGAAUAUUGCACAAUGGGGGCAACCCUGAUGCAGCAACGCCGCGUGAGCGAAGAAGGCCCUCGGGUCGUAAAGCUCUGUCCUAUGGGAAGAAGAAGUGACGGUACCAUAGGAGGAAGCCCCGGCUAACUACGUGCCAGCAGCCGCGGUA